rnacentral:rRNA from 1 species
AGAGUUUGAUCCUGGCUCAGGACGAACGCUGGCGGCGUGCCUAAUACAUGCAAGUAGAACGCUGAAGGAGGAGCUUGCUUCUCUGGAUGAGUUGCGAACGGGUGAGUAACGCGUAGGUAACCUGCCUGGUAGCGGGGGAUAACUAUUGGAAACGAUAGCUAAUACCGCAUAAGAGUGGAUGUUGCAUGACAUUUGCUUAAAAGGUGCACUUGCAUCACUACCAGAUGGACCUGCGUUGUAUUAGCUAGUUGGUGGGGUAAGGGCUCACCAAGGCGACGAUACAUAGCCGACCUGAGAGGGUGAUCGGCCACACUGGGACUGAGACACGGCCCAGACUCCUACGGGAGGCAGCAGUAGGGAAUCUUCGGCAAUGGACGGAAGUCUGACCGAGCAACGCCGCGUGAGUGAAGAAGGUUUUCGGAUCGUAAAGCUCUGUUGUAAGAGAAGAACGAGUGUGAGAGUGGAAAGGUCACACUGUGACGGUAUCUUACCAGAAAGGGACGGCUAACUACGUGCCAGCAGCCGCGGUAAUACGUAGGUCCCGAGCGUUGUCCGGAUUUAUUGGGCGUAAAGCGAGCGCAGGCGGUUAGAUAAGUCUGAAGUUAAAGGCUGUGGCUUAACCAUAGUAGGCUUUGGAAACUGUUUAACUUGAGUGCAAGAGGGGAGAGUGGAAUUCCAUGUGUAGCGGUGAAAUGCGUAGAUAUAUGGAGGAACACCGGGUGGCGAAAGCGGCUCUCUGGCUUGUAACUGACGCUGAGGCUCGAAAGCGUGGGGAGCAAACAGGGUUAGAUACCCUGGUAGUCCACGCUGUAAACGAUGAGUGCUAGGUGUUAGACCCUUUCCGGGGUUUAGUGCCGUAGCUAACGCAUUAAGCACUCCGCCUGGGGAGUACGACCGCAAGGUUGAAACUCAAAGGAAUUGACGGGGGCCCGCACAAGCGGUGGAGCAUGUGGUUUAAUUCGAAGCAACGCGAAGAACCUUACCAGGUCUUGACAUCCCUCUGACCGCUCUAGAGAUAGAGUUUUCCUUGGGGCAGAGGUGACAGGUGGUGCAUGGUUGUCGUCAGCUCGUGUCGUGAGAUGUUGGGUUAAGUCCCGCAACGAGCGCAACCCCUAUUGUUAGUUGCCAUCAUUUAGUUGGGCACUCUAGCGAGACUGCCGGUAAUAAACCGGAGGAAGGUGGGGAUGACGUCAAAUCAUCAUGCCCCUUAUGACCUGGGCUACACACGUGCUACAAUGGCUGGUACAACGAGUCGCAAGCCGGUGACGGCAAGCUAAUCUCUUAAAGCCAGUCUCAGUUCGGAUUGUAGGCUGCAACUCGCCUACAUGAAGUCGGAAUCGCUAGUAAUCGCGGAUCAGCACGCCGCGGUGAAUACGUUCCCGGGCCUUGUACACACCGCCCGUCACACCACGAGAGUUUGUAACACCCGAAGUCGGUGAGGUAACCGUAAGGAGCCAGCCGCCUAAGGUGGGAUAGAUGAUUGGGGUGAAGUCGUAACAAGGUAGCCGUAUCGGAAGGUGCGGCUGGAUCACCU